CUCACUCCACCCCCAUCUUCGCAUCUCAUCUCCAUUAAGAAGACAAAGAAAUCGAAGUGGCUGUUCAUUUUCUUUCUCUUUUUGAUGUGUGUAAAUGGGCAUUGAUUUAUUUUUAUUUUUGCUUUCUUUUUCUCGAUUGUGAAGAUGCUGUAAUCGUGUGUCUUUGCAUGGUUGACCGAAAGGAGAGAGUUUUAAGGUUUUCUUCAAAUGGAUACCAAAGGAAGGCUUGUGACUGGUUCACACAACAGAAAUGAGUUUGUACUCAUCAAUGCUGAUGAGAAUGGAAGUGUAAGAGCUUCAAAAGUCAUUCUUUUUUGCCCUUUUGCAUUUUCAGCUCUCAAAUUGGUUGCAAUUUGCAGCUCCAGUUGGUUUAAAAUUUGCUUAUUUUAGGUUUAUUGACUAGAUGCCAUGCCUAAUUACUUUUCUUCAGUCGAAUUGUCUUUUUAGGAUUCAUAACUUCAUAUUUCUGUUGGUUACAUUUUAAUUUGGGUUUUUAUGGCCAGGGAUGGAGGUGGCGGCGAUGGUGGGCAGGUAACUGAUUUUAGGUUUGAGGUAGGUGUGGGGGUACGGUGAGAGGAAGAAGACGAUUGUUUUUUUAUUCUAAUUUAAUUUCUAACUUAUUUUAAUGUAAUAAAAGAAAAGUUACUAUUUUAACUUUUCAAAAAUAUUUAAAAUAUGGUCAAAAUCAAAUUUCUUAGUCAACUAACAGGCAUUUGAAUGAAAACCGUCCAAAGAACCUCCGUUGCAACAUUUCGAAAGGUUUGGGAUGACGGUUGCAACAAAUUAAAGGUUUGUGAAAAAUCUAUCAAUGUUUUAAAGGUUUGGGGUCUCUGCUACAAUUGUCCCUAUUUUUUAUUUGUUACACCAAAUUUAACUGCAUUUAAGGUCCUCGAUUUUUAUUCGUUAUAAUACUUAUGUCUCUCAACUUUUUUUGUCAAAUUCUUAUUUUUAAUCUUUCAUUUAUUAAAAUAUCUCAUCUUUGAUGAUGAUUUUGUUAAAAUUUUACAUUUGCGUGCUUUGAAAUAAGAAAAAUAUACUUUAGCAUACUUUUGCAAUUAUUGUUUUUUAAAAAUAUGUCGUUUUUACUACCCUCCCAUCCCAUUAAUCGUACAAUUUUUUUUUUUUUUUUUUUUUUUUAUCAUAGACUAGAUUUGCUAAUUAAUGAAAAGUUGAAGAUAAAAAUGUUUUCAAAAAGUUAGGAAUGUAAGGGUUAUAAUGGGCAAAGGUUGAAGAUCUUGAGUGCAAUUAAAAUAUUGUGUAAUAAUAAAGCUCAUGGUGAAUAUAUUAUUACCCAUUUUAAAAUAAGAAUGAAAAGAUCACUGCAAGGAUUUAUACUUUCUACUACGAUAGAUGACGAUGGAUACAGGAAAUUUCGUUGUAUUAUAAUUCGCAAAUUCCUAAUAGUUGACCAUCGCCCAAUAUAUCUAAGGGAUAGAUUCUAAUUUACCUUUCUUUAAGAUUAGUUACAAUAAGUAAUUGCAUUAUUUAAUAAUGAAAUUUAGAUUUUCUCUACUCUGUCAUAUAUUUAGUCCUU
rnacentral:lncRNA from 1 species